AUGCUCGCUUCAGCAACACAGAUGCUAAAGUUGGAACGAUACAGAGAUUAGCAUGGCCCCUACACACAAGUAUAGUUUUUCUUUUAU
rnacentral:snRNA from 1 species